CCUACGGGAGGCAGCAGUGAGGAAUAUUGGUCAAUGGGCGCAAGCCUGAACCAGCCAAGCCGCGUGAAGGAAGACGGCCCUCCGGGUUGUAAACUUCUUUUGUACGGGGGUAAACUGAGGUACGCGUAUCUUUUUGUAUGUACGUUACGAAUAAGGAUCGGCUAACUCCGUGCCAGCAGCCGCGGUAAUACGGAGGAUCCGAGCGUUAUCCGGAUUUAUUGGGUUUAAAGGGGGCGUAGAUGGGUGGUUAAGUAAGUGGUGAAAUGCCGAGGCUCAACCUUAAAAUUGCACUUGAUACUGGUCGGCUUGAGUGCAGUUGCGGUAGGCGGAAUGCGUGGUGUAGCGGUGAAAUGCUUAGAGAUCACGAAGAACACCGAUUGCGAAGGCAGCUUACUAAGCUGCUACUGACGUUGAGGCACGAAAGCGUGGGGAGCAAACAGGAUUAGAUACCCGAGUAGUC
rnacentral:rRNA from 1 species